GGUUACUGCUAUCGGGGUUCGACUAAGCCAUGCGAGUCUAAUGUUCUUUAUUGAACAUGGCGAACUGCUCAGUAACACGUGGACAACUUGCCCUUAGGACUGGUAUAACCCCGGGAAACUGGGGAUAAUCCCAGAUAAUCCAUUGAAGCUGGAAUGCUCUUUGGAUAAAAUGCUCCGGCGCCUAAGGAUAGGUCUGCGGUCUAUCAGGUUGUAGUGGGUGUAACGUACCUACUAGCCUACUACGGAUACGGGUUGUGAGAGCAAGAGCCCGGAGAUGGAUUCUGAGACACGAAUCCAGGCCCUACGGGGUGCAGCAGGCGCGAAUACUUUACAAUGCGGGAAACCGCGAUAAGGGAACCCCGAGUGCCAGCACCAAGUGUUGGCUGUCCAGAUGAAUAAAUAUCAUUUGUUAGCAAGGGCCGGGCAAGACCGGUGCCAGCCGCCGCGGUAACACCGGCGGCCCGAGUGGUAACCACUUUUAUUGGGUCUAAAGGGUCCGUAGCCGGCUUGAACAGUCUUUUGGGAAAUCUGACAGCUUAACUGUUAGGCUUCUAAGGGAUACUAUCAGGCUUGGGACCGGGAGAGGUAAGGGGUACUUCAGGGGUAGGAGUGAAAUCUUGUAAUCCCUGGGGGACCAUCUGUGGCGAAGGCGUCUUACCAGAACGGGUCUGACGGUGAGGGACGAAAGCUGGGGGCGCAAACCGGAUUAGAUACCCGGGUAGUCCCAGCCGUAAACGAUGCUCGCUAUGUGUCAGGUACGGUGUGACCGUAUCUGGUGCCGUAGGGAAGCCGUGAAGCGAGCCACCUGGGAAGUACGGCCGCAAGGCUGAAACUUAAAGGAAUUGGCGGGGGAGCACUACAACGGGUGGAGCCUGCGGUUU
rnacentral:rRNA from 1 species